rnacentral:misc_RNA from 1 species
GAAACGCGAUAGUUAAUGUGAAUUGCAGAAUUCAGUGAAUCAUCGAGUCUUUGAACGCACAUUUCGCCCAUAGGUAUUCCUUUGGGCAUGUCUGUUUGAGCGUCAUUACAACCCUCAGCUAACCGCUGGUUUUGAACCUGAACGGGUGACACCGCGCCGGUUUUAAAGUUGUAAGCUCUGCUGGCCGCUCUGCCCAACCAGAACAUAGUAAGCACUACUUGUCCGGGUGAAGCUGAACGGUACGGCCUGAACAAAACCUACCCACUCUCAAGGUUUGACCUCAGAUCAGACAAGGAUACCCGCUGAACUUAAGC